GGGGAAACUGGCUGGGCCAGAAAGGUGAUUAAUGCCUCCUUGCAGGAGGGGAUGGUCUCUGCCUGUUUGAAGGAAGCAGUGGUAAAACCACUCCUCAAGAAACCCUCAUUGGAUUAGGAAAAUCUAAGUAACUGUUGGCCAGUUGCCAGUCUCCCUUCCUGACUGAUGGUUGUAGGCCAGUUCCAGGUGCUCUUGAAAGAAAUUGAUUUUCUAGAUCCAUUUCAAUCGGGGUUUUAGGCCCAGUUUUGGCACAGAAACUGCUUGGGUCACCCUGUAUGAUAACUUCUGUCUGGAGAGGGACAGGAGAAAUGUGUCCCUGUUAGUUGGCCUUGACCUCUCAACUGGUAUCCUUCUGGAGUGGUUAUCCAAGUUGGGGGUGUGCGACACUGCAUUGCAGUGGUUCCAGUCCUACUUAGUUUCCAGAGAGCGAUGCUUCUGGCCCUGUGUGGGGUUCCUCAGGGUUCAAUAUUAUCCCCCAUGCUGUUUGACACCUACAUGAAACUUCUGAGUGGGUUCAUCCAGUGGAGUACGUUGUCACCAAUAUGCUAAUGGCACAUAGCUCAACUUCUCUUUUACACCUGCAGGUGAGGCAGUGGAUGUGCUGCGCCAUCAUCUUGCUUUGGCAAUGGACUGGAUGAGAGCCAACAAAAUGAAGCUUAAUCCAGAAAAGUUUGGAGGCCAGAAUUCAGAAUUCAGAGGCCAGGUUGCUCACUGGGACCAGAUGGUCUGAGCAUAUAACACCGAUUCUGACCAAACUGCACUGGCUGCCAGUCAGUUUCCAGGUCUAAUUCAACAUGCUUGUUUUGAGUUACAAAGCUUCAAACGGCUCAGAACCACAAUACCUCUCCCCAUAUGAACCGAUUAGGACUCUGUGGUCAUCAUCUGAGGCCCUUCUUCAGUCUCCCUCGCUACAAGAGGUCUGGAAGCGGGUAUCAUGAGAAUGGGCCUUUUCUAUAGUGUCUCCCCAUUUGUGGAAUGCUUGCCUGGUGCCUUUGCUACAUAUCUUUAGGCUCCAGGCAAAAACAUUCCCAUUCUCCUAGGAUUUUGGCUAAUUAAACAAUGUAUGGUCCUGUACACUGGGGUGGGUGCAGGAGUAAUUGUUGUUGUUACCAUAUUAUGAACUUCUGCGUUUUUAUAUUGUAAAACAGAUGAAUGGUGG
rnacentral:lncRNA from 1 species